GAUGAACGCUGGCGGCGUGCCUAAUACAUGCAAGUCGAGCGAACAGACGAGGAGCUUGCUCCUCUGACGUUAGCGGCGGACGGGUGAGUAACACGUGGAUAACCUACCUAUAAUACUGGGAUAACUUCGGGAAACCGGAGCUAAUACCGGAUAAUAUAUUGAACCGCAUGGUUCAAUAGUGAAAGACGGUUUUGCUGUCACUUAUAGAUGGAUCCGCGCCGCAUUAGCUAGUUGGUAAGGUAACGGCUUACCAAGGAGACGAUGCGUGGCCGACCUGAGAGGGUGAUCGGCCACACUGGAACUGGGACACGGUCCAGACUCCUACGGGAGGCAGCAGUAGGGAAUCUUCCGCAAUGGGCGAAAGCCUGACGGAGCAACGCCGCGUGAGUGAUGAAGGUCUUCGGAUCGUAAAACUCUGUUAUUAGGGAAGAACAAAUGUGUAAGUAACUAUGCACGUCUUGACGGUACCUAAUCAGAAAGCCACGGCUAACUACGUG
rnacentral:rRNA from 1 species